rnacentral:rRNA from 1 species
UACGUAGGGCGCAAGCGUUAUCCGGAAUUAUUGGGCGUAAAGAGCUCGUAGGCGGUUUGUCGCGUCUGCCGUGAAAGUCCGGGGCUCAACUCCGGAUCUGCGGUGGGUACGGGCAGACUAGAGUGAUGUAGGGGAGACUGGAAUUCCUGGUGUAGCGGUGAAAUGCGCAGAUAUCAGGAGGAACACCGAUGGCGAAGGCGGGUCUCUGGGCAGUAACUGACGCUGAGGAGCGAAAGCGCGGGGAGCGAACGGG